GAUGAACGCUGGCGGCGUGCUUAACACAUGCAAGUCGAACGGGACUUACUUUAUUGAAACUUCGGUCGAUUUAAUUUAAGUCUAGUGGCGGACGGGUGAGUAACGCGUGGGUAACCUGCCUCACACUGGGGGAUAACAGUCAGAAAUGACUGCUAAUACCGCAUGAUACUUUUUGGGGGCAUCCCUAAAAAGUCAAAGCUUUAUGUGCUGAAAGAUGGUCUCGCGUCUGAUUAGCUAGUUGGUGAGGUAAUGGCUCACCAAGGCGACGAUCAGUAGCCGGUCUGAGAGGAUGAACGGCCACAUUGGGACUGAGAUACGGCCCAG
rnacentral:rRNA from 1 species